rnacentral:rRNA from 1 species
CCCGUAAUCGGAAUGAGUACACUUUAAAUCCUUUAACAAGGAUCCAUUGGAGGGCAAGUCUGGUGCCAGCAGCCGCGGUAAUUCCAGCUCCAAUAGCGUAUAUUAAAGUUGUUGCGGUUAAAAAGCUCGUAGUUGGUUCUGCGUGCCGCGCUGUCGGUUCGCCGCCUGUCGGUGUAACUGGCAUGUCGCGGCAUGUCCUGUCGGUGGUGAACGUUGCCCACGGUGCUGCUAAGGCUUUUACAGUCUAAGUAUGUUCCGUGAGUGUUAACGUUUACCGAUCUCUCCUACUCCGGUGCUCUUAAACGAGUGUCGAGGUAGGCCGACACGUUCACUUUGAACAAAUUAGAGUGCUUAAAGCAGGCUGAAAUAUCUGCCUGAAUAGUGGUGCAUGGAAUGAUAAAAUAGGACCUCGGUUCUAUUUUGUUGGUUUUAGGAAUAUGAGGUAAUGAUCAAUGUGGACUGGCGGGGGCAUUCGUAUUGCGACGUUAGAGGUGAAAUUCUUGGAUCGUCGCAAGACGCACUAGAGCGAAAGCAUUUGCCAAGUAUGUCUUAAUUGAUCAAGAACGAAAGUUAGAGGUUCGAAGGCGAUCAGAUACCGCCCUAGUUCUAACCAUAAACGAUGCCAGCCAGCGAUCCGCCGAUGUUCCUAUAAUGACUCGGCGGGGAGCUUCUACUCGGGAAACCAAAGCUUUUGGGUUCCGGGGGAAGUAUGGUUGCAAAGCUGAAACUUAAAGGAAUUGACGGAAGGGCACCACCAGGAGUGGAGCCUGCGGCUUAAUUUGACUCAACACGGGAAACC